GACGAACGCUGGCGGCGUGCUUAACACAUGCAAGUCGAACGGAAAGGCCCUGCUUUUGUGGGGUGCUCGAGUGGCGAACGGGUGAGUAACACGUGAGUAACCUGCCCUUGACUUUGGGAUAACUUCAGGAAACUGGGGCUAAUACCGGAUAGGAGCUCCUGCUGCAUGGGGGGGGUUGGAAAGUUUCGGCGGUUGGGGAUGGACUCGCGGCUUAUCAGCUUGUUGGUGGGGUAGUGGCUUACCAAGGCUUUGACGGGUAGCCGGCCUGAGAGGGUGACCGGCCACAUUGGGACUGCGAUACGGCCCAGACUCCUACGGGAGGCAGCGGUGGGGAAUAUUGCACAAUGGGCGGAAGCCUGAUGCAGCAACGCCGCGUGCGGGAUGACGGCCUUCGGGUUGUAAACCGCUUUCGCCUGUGACGAAGCGUGAGUGACGGUAAUGGGUAAAGAAGCACCGGCUAACUACGUG
rnacentral:rRNA from 1 species